rnacentral:rRNA from 1 species
UUGAUUCGGGCUCGGCCCGAUCCUCCCA